ACUCUCAGACGCUCAACAGGUGCGGAACUCUGCUAACGCAGUAGGCUGGCCAAAGGGUGGUGCUGAGAGUCGCCUCCAGCCUCCGGGCCGUCCCGAAAGCUACACCUUCUCCCCCUGAGCUGCAGAGGGCGCGCGUGAGGCAUCGGGCGCUCAGGACCCCGCGGGAGCUCAGCGAGGGGGCGGGCGGCCACGGAGUGAGGGGGAAAUUUGCAGUGGUGAGAAAAUGUAUAAAGAAAGAUUCUGGGAAAGAAUUUGCUGCAAAGUUCAUGAGAAAAAGAAGAAAAGGCCAAGAUUGUCGGAUGGAAAUAAUUCAUGAGAUUGCUGUACUUGAACUAGCACAGGACAAUCCUUGGGUCAUUAAUUUACAUGAAGUUUAUGAGACUGCCUCAGAAAUGAUCUUAGUUCUGGAAUAUGCUGCUGGGGGUGAAAUCUUUGACCAGUGUGUUGCAGACAGAGAAGAAGCCUUUAAAGAAAAAGAUGUUCAAAGACUUAUGCGACAGAUUUUAGAAGGUGUUCACUUUUUACACACUCGUGAUGUAGUUCAUCUUGAUUUGAAGCCUCAGAAUAUUCUGUUGACAAGCGAAUCUCCAUUGGGUGACAUUAAGAUUGUUGAUUUUGGCCUUUCAAGAAUAUUGAAGAACAGUGAAGAGCUCCGAGAAAUUAUGGGUACCCCUGAAUAUGUGG
rnacentral:sRNA from 1 species